UACAGAGGUCUCAAGCGUUGUUCGGAUUCAUUGGGCGUAAAGGGGUGCGUAGGUGGCGCCGUAAGUCAGGUGUGAAAAUUUCGGAGCUUAACUCCGAAAACUGCAUUUUGAUACUGCGGUGCUUGAGGGACUGGAGAGGAGACUGGAAUUCAUGGUGUAGCAGUGAAAAUGCGUAGAGAUCAUGAGGAAGACCAGUGGCGAAAGGCGGGGUCUCUGGACAGUUUCCUGACACUGAGGCACGAAAGGCCCAGGGGGGAGCAAAAACGGGGG
rnacentral:rRNA from 1 species